rnacentral:rRNA from 1 species
AUGAACGCUGGCGGCGUGCUUAACACAUGCAAGUCGAACGAUUAAAGCUCACUUCGGUGAGUGUAUAGAGUGGCGAACGGGUGAGUAACACGUGGGAAACCUGCCCCUUUCUUCGGGAUAACUUCGGGAAACCGUUGCUAAUACCGGAUACUCCGGGAUGGUCGCGUGGCCGACCCGGGAAAGCUUUAUGUGGAAAGGGAUGGUCCCGCGGCCCAUUAGCUUGUUGGUGGGGUAAUGGCCUACCAAGGCAAUGAUGGGUAGCCG